AGAGUUUGAUCCUGGCUCAGAUUGAACGCUGGCGGCAUGCCUUACACAUGCAAGUCGAACGGCAGCAUGAUCUAGCUUGCUAGAUUGAUGGCGAGUGGCGAACGGGUGAGUAAUACAUCGGAACGUGCCCUGUAGUGGGGGAUAACUAGUCGAAAGAUUAGCUAAUACCGCAUACGACCUGAGGGUGAAAGUGGGGGACCGCAAGGCCUCAUGCUAUAGGAGCGGCCGAUGUCUGAUUAGCUAGUUGGUGGGGUAAAGGCCCACCAAGGCGACGAUCAGUAGCUGGU
rnacentral:rRNA from 1 species